rnacentral:tRNA from 1 species
GCGGGCGUAGCUCAGCUGGUAGAGCGUCUGCCUUCCAAGCAGAUGGUCGCGCGUUCGAAUCGCGUCGCCCGCUCCA